GUCGUCGGGCGGAGAGCUCCAGAAGAAGAAGCCGCGCAGUGAGAUCUGAGAGCAGAGAACAGGAAGUCCGGGGCGCUCGGUCCGCGUUGGUUUGCUCCUCUUCUUUUUGAGCUGGAGUAGACCUUGAAGCCGGUCAUCUUCUUGGACAGGAUGGACUUGGGCAGGUUGAGCAGCGCCGGGUUGAAGACGGAGAAGUCGCUGUAAUAUCGGUCCAGCACCCAGACGGCCGCCCGCUGGACGCUGAAAACACGAUCAAACUUGCUGGCUCCGUCGGUGCUCCGGACCACCUUGAGGCAGAAGGCCGGCUGCAGGUGCCGCACCUCCAGCAGCACCAGGGCCAGGUACUGAAUGAAGAGGAGCGCGUCCACCAGCGAGGCGGCGUACUCCACGAUGCCCCUGUAGUCCCGCUCCCGGGGCUCCAGCACCCGCACGCCGUAGAACAACCAGUACGACGCGAUGAAGAGGAACACCAGCACCAUCAGCAGGCAGCGGAAGACGAAGAAGCGCGGGAGGGUGGCGCGGGGAGGCCGGAGGAACAGCGCCCAGGAGGAGAUGAGCAGGACCAGGAGCUUGAAGGCCAGGGAGACGUAGAGGCCCUCGCAAGGCGUGCCGCAGGGCUCCAGGGCGUCGCGCCACAGGACCUGCGGCAGGAUGAGGAAGGCCAGAGGCGUGACCAGGGCGAAGAAGCUCAGGCAGCCUCCCAGCGCCGGGCCCACGAAGCGCUUGCACUGCAGCGGGGUGGACUCCUCCAGAUCUUUGGUGACGCGGGUCAGGUCCUCGUUGGAGACGCUGUGUUCCGAGGUGCCGGUGACCACCGUGGUGGUCUCGCCCCAGUUGUCAUCCUGUGAGACGGAGGUACAGAUAAUCGAGGGUCACGAGAAAAACAAGCUUUUCUGCAGUAAAUCUGACUUUUAUUUGACUAGAUAACUGAAUAAAAAGAAGAAGCAGAUCUGGUGAAGCGCUUUUAGAUUAAUCGAAUAACUUGUGAGAAUCUGUUCUGCAUCAAGGAAGAAACUCAAGAUGUUUAUAUGACAUUUGUGUUUAGGAUGCAAAGAGUCUGAGCGAAUAUAGAAGCUUAGAGUCUAAAAGAAAACCAUUAAAAAUAAAGAAAAAGUCAAAAUGUUGUUAUAUAAGAACUCAAGAGACAAAAAACUAAACCAUAUUUAAAUGAAAGCAUUGCAACAACCAUUUGAAUAAAAAAAUAAAUGUUAUGGGGUAAAAAGCGGCGCGAGCGACUGACCCGCUCGUCCCCCCGUGUCGACUCGGCAUCGAGCAGCGGCUCCCCGGGAGUCUGGAUGGUGACGGAUUUGUCUCCGCGGCUGCUGCCGUCUCGGCUCUUGGAGCGGUGCCGGUCCCUCCGGUCCCUGGAGGACCAAAACCACGUCAGACGGGGGUCACUGGACUAAUGUUCUCUGGCUAUAAUUAACCCGAUUUAUCGUAAUCAGAAUCGAGUUAUUCUGAUUUGUUGAACUGCUCUUGGUUCCUGCUAAUAAAGUCAAAAAGUUUGUGAAAGCAGUUAAA